UGUCUCAAGAGAUGAGACAAGGGCUGGAGAGAUGGCUCAGAGGUUAAGAACACUGACUGCUUUUCCAGAGGUCCUGAGUUCAAUUCCCAGCAACCACAUGGUGAC
rnacentral:miRNA from 1 species